rnacentral:rRNA from 1 species
GACGAACUGUGCAAGCGUUAUUCGGAAUCACUGGGCUUGAAGAGUUCGUAGGCGGUUUCGUAAGUAGGGUGUGAAAGCCCCCAGCUCAACUGGGGAACUGCGUCCUAAACUGCGAGGCUGGAGUGAGGUAGGGGUGUGUGGAACUUCCGGUGGAGCGGUGAAAUGUGUUGAUAUCGGAAGGAACGCCGGUGGCGAAAGCGACACACUGGGCCUUGUCUGACGCUGAGGCACGAAAGCCAGGGGAGCAAACGGG